GCUUCCUCCUUGGAGGGACCUCAGAAGUCCCAGGCUUCAUAGUGUCAAGUUCAACAGAAAGAGUAGUUUUCAUCUUUCCACAGUUCUUAGAAAAGUCCUGAGACUGAGUUUUACUGGGCAAUGUCAGUUUAGUAAAAGGGACAGGAUGUUAGCAAAGGAAGGCAUUACCAGCAAUAAGAAGUGAUAGCUGCCACGGGAAGCAAAUGCAGAAACAGCAGCCUGGGCUGUUCCAUGCAGGGGAGUUCAGCUCAGGUGGGCAAAACCAGAUAACUAACAUGAACAGUGGAACAAUCAGUGAACCAAUACAAGGGUUAAAUAAGCUAGCAAUUAAAAGCUGUAUCACUGGUCUAAAGAUAGAAGAUCAAGUAGAAAAUCAGCGCAAGAGGAAAGAUAUACGAAAACUAAUGACCUUCAAGGUUUGGCUGAACAGCUGAACUGCAGGAUGGAUUGGAAUGCCUAGAACCAGAAACUUAGGAUGCCUAGAACCAGAAACUCAGCCAUUGCUGAGGUUCACUGCUUCUCAGCGCUGCUGCUUUAUACACACAAACUGUAUUCUCUCCCACUGUUUUGUCUUCUUUCAUAAAGCAGGAAACAUAGGUGCUCA
rnacentral:lncRNA from 1 species